UUACAGGACCGCAUCAAAACUAUGUGAUACGUCGCAUGCUAAUUAAUACAGGUGGAUGUUUAUUAGGUGCUUGACUUGAUAAUGUUUCUUGUUCAGCAUGAUGUAGAAUGAAAGGAGGACCUUCAUGGAACUGCCUCCAACUUAACUUUGGGAAAGAUUUUGGGUUGGCUGGAGGGUGCCUCUUUUAAGAUACAGACUCUUGCCAAUCAGUUCUCUGGUGUGAUUAUACAAAGUGGAAAGCAGGUCCAACUGAAGGAAGAGUCAACGAGGGGACAUGUGGGUCCAGUAUUGGUCCUUGCCAUUUCGAUACAUCAUUAAAUGUCCUAUGGGUUUCAACGUUUUAUUUGUCUCUUCACUAACAAAAGCUUCGGUUCAUGUUGUGGAAAAUGCAAGCACACAUGCUUUCAGUCUGACAAAGAUUUUGUCGGCAUGGCUACGUGGGGCGUUAUAUCACAUGCUGUCAUGUUAACAUAGAACUGCAUCAACUCAACUCUGACAGGGCAUGUUCCUUCCAAGUCGAACAUAGUAGUUGUUGGAUGUAACCCUCCAAGCUCACCACUAGUAGAUAUUGUCCGCUUUAGCUUGUUAUGUAUCGUCGUUAGCAUCACGAUUUUAAAAUGCAUCUAUUGAGGUGAGGUUUCCACACCCUUAGAAAGAAUGCUUCAUUUCCAUUUUCAACCGAUAUGGAAUACUUCUUUUCAUAGUCGACUAAGAUACUAACGUGAUUUUAAAGAUUCUAACAUAUAAUUCAUCUGUUAAUACGAACUAUGAAUGAGAUAAUAUUAUACGCUCGAUUUUAUGUUCAGAAGUUGUAAGUGUGUGGUUAAAGCAAGCCCUACCGUCAUCUUCCUCCAUGAUUGGUACCAAACUUUCCAUUUUGUUUUUUCUGUUCUCGCAUUUAUUCUCUGUAGUGAAAAAUGAGAAUGCUUUUUCUGUUUUUGUCGAAAUGUUCAUGAUAGGUGUGUGACAUCUCUUUGGAUUCUGCUGCGAGGGAGGGACCAACCCUCGCCGGGCCCUUACCUUUCACAUGCUGUCUUUGACUCCAUCGUCAUCUCCUCGUAUGCUCCUUUUUUGUUUUUUUUAGCUUCAAACCUUUCAUAAUAUUGGUGUUUGGCUUAUAGAGUAAAUUUUUGUGAAAUUUAUAUUUAGUGUCCAAAUUUGUUUCUUC